AUUAACUAUGAUAUCACCAAUAGUCUCUUUGAUUCUAUUUCUCUCGCUUUCCAUAAUCAGAAAUGAAAUGAGACAAGAGGGAAAUGGUUUACAAUUAGAGAAUGUAGAAGAUGUAUCUGGCGAAAAUCGUGCUGAAGUACAAACCAUUCCGGGCAAGAAAGACCCAAAAGACGGACAAGAAAGCACAAACACUUUUGCAGAUGCGACAACGGUUCCUUUCGUUCCACCGACAAUUUCUCUGCCUCCUGGAUUCACUGAACAAGAUAUUGUGCGCUAGACGGAAGAAUAUUCAUACCGUUGGUCUCUGAAAAGGUUUACAUAGCAUCAGCGAUCGCCAAAUGUCAACAGCUCGGUUUUGAACUUGCGAAUAUUUACAAUCAAAAACAUAUGGACAAGAUAAUGACAUUCUUUCGUGACAACAGGAUGGACGGGAAAUCAGAUAAAUGGUUUCAUCUCGGCAUGACAUACGACCCUAUUAAUCAGAUUCUUCGUUUCCGAAACGGAACCGUGACAUCACACAGUGGCUUCAAAUGGUUCAUAGACUCUCCAUUCAAUGGACAGAGUUAUUCUGAUUGGACAAACAUGGUUAUCAGGAUUCAGGAAGAUUCAACAAGCCUAUAUCAAUAC